rnacentral:misc_RNA from 1 species
CAACCAUCAAGCCCCGGGCUUGUGUUGGGGACCUGCGUCCGACGCAGGCCCUGAAAACCAGUGGCGGGCUCGCUGUCCACACCGAGCGUAGUAACUAACCUCGCUAUGGAGUGGCGCGGGCGCCUGCCGUAAAACCCCCAAUUUUUACAA